GUGAGUCAUCGAAUCUUUGAACGCACAUUGCGCCCGCCAGUAUUCUGGCGGGCAUGCCUGUCCGAGCGUCAUUUCAACCCUCGAACCCCUCCGGGGGGUCGGCGUUGGGGAUCGGCCACCCUCUAAACCGGGCGGCCGUCUCCGAAAUACAGUGGCGGUCUCGCCGCAGCCUCUCCUGCGCAGUAGUUUGCACACUCGCAACGGGAGCGCGGCGCGUCCAAUGCCGUAAAACACCCCAAACUUCUGAAAUGUUGACCUCGGAUCAGGUAGGAAUACCCGCUGAACUUAAGCAUAUCAAUAAGCGGAGGA
rnacentral:misc_RNA from 1 species